UCUGAAAUUUAAUGCACAACAUGCAAUUUGUCCUUAUCUCAAUUUUUUUAUUUUUUAUUAUUACUACUGGGGUCAGCUUAGCUCAGGAGGUAAAGCAGUUGUCUUGUAACCGUAAGCUUGCUAGUUCGAUCCCCAGCUCCUUCUAGCUGAGUGUUGAUGUGUCCCUGAGCAAGACACUUAACCCUAACUGCUCCUGACGAGCUGGAUGUCGCCUUGCAUGGUUGACUCUGCCGUCGGUGUGUCAAUGUGUGUAUUAACUGAUGUAAGUCGCUUCGGAUAAAAGCGUCUACUAAUUGCCCUAAAUGUAAAUGCACUAUUUAUUGACAAUACUAUUUAUUGUCUCACUCUCACUCUCUCUCUCUCUUUGUAUUAAUACUGUACUAGACUUUGGAAGCCCUGCACAAGAAUUCAUAUGUGUUUGGACUUCGGAAGAAUGUCACUCCAACCUGACAUGUUUUAGGGUCAGUAGAGACCUUUUGAGAAGAACACAAGAAAGAUAAUAGGCCCCCGACCAUUCAGAAAUCACAUGAGUUGAGGGGGAUUUCAGAGGUGUGUGUGUGUGUGUGUGUGAGAUGUGUGUGUGAUGUGUGUGUGAUGUGUGUGUGUGCGUCUCAGGAAGGGCUGGUGGGGAGGGUUCCAUGUAGAUGCUGUUGGUUGUUUUCUCCCCAGCGGGGGGGCGGGCCAGUGUGUUUCUGAAGGGUGCCAUGCCUGCUGGUGAUCAGAGAGGAGAGGGCCAGUGACAUCAUGACAGAUCAUGACAAGUGUGUCACACUGACCCCCACAGAGUUCUCCCUGCUCCAGGACUACGCCCAGUGUAAUGACGAAUAAAAACCCUUGAACCUUUGAACCUUUGAAAAACCAAAAAAAAAGGGUCAGAAAUGCAAAUAACAUGAUUGCACAACUAGCGAAGAGGAUAGCAGAAAUGGACAAUGCAAAAAUUCAUGUCUCACCAGCAGCACUUGGGACAUUUGUGUCAACUAAGAAGAAGAACAUGCCUUUGCCUUGGUAAAGGAAAGAAGGCCAGAAAAGACAUGUGUGUGUGUGAUGUGUACAGUCUCGACGCUUAGGUCAGCUUCUUCACCAGUCCCUGCGACUCAAAACUAAUUGCUGUAACCAUUGCUGUACUGCGCGAUGAAAGAGGGAACCAAAAACAAGAGCUGAUUGAGGAGAAAAAACUGAAGCACAAGGCAGUUUGUCAACCACACAAAAGUGGCUACAUAUUUAUGCCAUUGCUUGAUGGCAGUGAAAGGAACUAACCAAUCUAGGACAAGUGACAGAAGAUGAGAGUAAGGCCGCUAAUAGCUGUCACUUUUUUAAUGUUAGAAGUUUUUAGUUAUAAUUUAAUGAUGGUUAUUCCCUUUAACUGUUGGAUAGCAUUGUUCUGCGUUUCCUCUUUUGUUAUUCCCUGUAGACCAGAACAAUGUGGACCACAGCGGUGUGGAGAGAGACCAUGGAGAUGGAUGAAGUAAUACCAUCAUGUUGGGUUAAAAAUGGUGGUGUAUUUUGGCCUACACAAGGAGCUGUGGGAGCGUUGAAGGACUGCAAAGAACCUUAAGAGUCAUGGACGAAAUUCCCGUUAAUAAAAAUUAAGAUUCAGUCAGAUGACAAGAAUGAAUGCGAGAAGUAUGAUUUUACUACAACUGCUGAAUUGAGUGGCUCAGAAGAGGACUUACCGAUGAAGAGGAGGCCAAAAUAAUACAUAUAUCCAGACUACCAAAUGGAUAUAUUUAGAUGAACCAUCUGUCAAUGAAGACAGUCAAAAAUUAUCUUCUCCAGAUCUUAUGAUAACGAGUACAGGUAUGUAAUAGAUUGGUUUUCACAUUUAUUUUCAUACCUGUCACAAUAAUGAGGUUGGAGCAGGGUUUUCUAACUUUUUUGUCAAUUCAAACUAAUGCAGUCAACACAGGUAGGCCUAAUUGUUUGAAAGAUGACUACUGUCUUACAGAAUGCUUAUUACUCAUUUUAGGUGAAAAGGCUACCAAGAAGAUUCGAAAAUGUAUUCCUUGUGAAGGUAUAUGUUAAUUUACAGGAACCAAUGCACUGAAAGCAAUGGCUACAUGGCCCCAAUGACUACAUCAUUGUUACAUUGUUUUUUUUUAGAGUAAAUCAACAAAAGGGUCUCCUUGUACACAGCCCGUGUGAUUGUCAGGUCGGGUUAGUAGUAGGAACAUUUAAAGUAAAACAGUGAAAUAGACCACUGCAUGCUGACAAACUUUAGAGAAUCUUUGUGAGCAAGCAACACGUUUCGCCUGUAGCUCCCUCUGAUUGUUGCUCACUCAGAACAAAGAUUCAGUAAGAGUCAAGCCAAGAAAAGAUUAACAAAAGUUAUGUGCGUUAAGAACACAUCAUUGCAGCAUUUAAUACACCACCGUGGCUAUGUCAGUAUCGGGCCAAUUAGUCACUACACUUCACUUUUUAUUACAGCUGACUUUGUUCUUCCAACACCUCCCAAAAUGACAAAUGCACAUUCUGGUAAAUAUUGCACAACUACCAACACAAUGAAAAGACACCGCAUCCUGCAAAUACAAUUAAUGAGAAUCAAGCCAAGAAAAGACUAACAAAAGAUUACUUUGUUCUUCCAACUCCUCCAAAAAUGACAGGUGCACACCUACCAGUUUGGUAGGUGAUUGUGUGAAACCAGUUUUGUUUUUGAUUGGGUAUCACAUAUUUUGAAGUUUAGUAUGCCAUACCAGAAUUGAAAGGUUACAACUUAAAUUGAAUGCCACAAAAUAUACAUUUCAAUUGUCUUUUAUGUUAAGGUAAACUGUUAAUGUUGCUUAUGUUGACUAACCAAAUACGUGUAAAGUAAUUUUGAAUUAUUGACACAUUAACUCUUCCCAGUGUCUAAACCCUCUAAAACCGCAGAAAGAACACAAAUGGACAUCCCCUCAAGCCCUCAAUCUCGAUCCUUGGCGCGCAGUGGUAGCAGUAGUCCCUCUGAGUCUUUUUCUAAUGGUCGAAGGUAUUUAAUGAAGUACAAUAUUGUCAGUAUAACUGAAGCACUGUAAAGCUGCCUAGUGUGCACUACAAGUCUUCCGGAUGUAAGAAAAUGUCACAUGUUCAUAAUAUUACUUUUUUUCUAGUAAAAAUAGAAAUUGCGACACAAAAUGAUAAUUUCCACUACUUAGAAUUAUACUUUCCCUUCUUUAUUUUUUUAAACCAGAUUCUUCAUCCCUGGACAAGAGAGUCUGUCCAGAUCCCUUUCUCAGAAACAGCGUUGAGGUUCCUCACGGUCUUCCACUCAUGGAUGGAGGUAUUUGAUCAU